rnacentral:rRNA from 1 species
CCUGGCUCAGGAUGAACGCUAGCGGCAGGCUUAACACAUGCAAGUCGAGGGGUAUGCCGAUUUAUCGGCAGAGACCAGCGCACGGGUGCGUAACGCGUAUGCAAUCUACCUUUCACAGAGGGAUAGCCCAGAGAAAUUUGGAUUAAUACCUCAUAGUAUAGCAAUUUCGCAUGAAACCACUAUUAAAGUUCCAACGGUGAAAGAUGAGCAUGCGUCCCAUUAGCUAGAUGGUAAGGUAACGGCUUACCAAGGCUACGAUGGGUAGGGGUCCUGAGAGGGAGAUCCCCCACACUGGAACUGAGACACGGACCAGACUCCUACGGGAGGCAGCAGUGAGGAAUAUUGGUCAAUGGGCGCAAGCCUGAACCAGCCAUGCCGCGUGCAGGAAGACGGUCCUAUGGAUUGUAAACUGCUUUUAUACAGGAAGAAACCCUCCCACGUGUGGGAGCUUGACGGUACUGUAGGAAUAAGGAUCGGCUAACUCCGUG